CGCCGCCACGUACUUGCCGCCCGCCUGCAGCGCGUCCAGCCCCAGCACCCGGUGCCCACGCGUGGGCGUGAAGAGGCGGCGCACGCCGAACGGGACGUCCACCUGCUCCGUGAGCUGCUCCAGCAGCGCCUCGAAGGUUGAAUUUGACCGGUUCAGCCCCAGUAUCUUCCAGGACUCCUGGUCCAGAGUGGGGAAUUUGAGCUUUUCCACCAGAGGAGGAGCUGUGCAGAGCCACUGGGAGGCCGUGAGGAACAGCGCUAUAGCCGCUGGUGUGCGGUGUCAGGCGUGUGCCAUUCAGAACGCAUCCUCAUUGGGGUUAAGAAGGAUUCAAAGGGAGAGGGGGUCUUUGGAAGAAUCGUUCCUACUCUGGGUAAAGAUAGGCCAGUCCCCUUGAGUGAUUCUAGACAGUAGGCUACAUGUUACGGCUGGAAGUCCACACCGAAGGUACAGAUAUUGAUAUUAUGAGUAUUAAUAUAAUGUUCAAAAAAAGUAGUUCCUUAGAGACCACCAGUCACAGCCAUAGCCAGUAUGUAAGCUACUAAAUGCCUCAUAGCAACAUUAAAUACAGAGAUCAAUUUGUGAGACAACCA